rnacentral:rRNA from 1 species
CAGCGCCACGAGUAGCAAUCAGUUUUAUUGGGCCUAAAGCGUCCGUAGCUGGUUGAAUAAAUCUUUUGUGAAAUUGUCGGGCUAAACCUGACAGCGUGCAGAAGACACUGUUCAACUUGGGACCGGGAGGAGUCAGAGGUAUUCGGUGGGUAGCGGUAAAAUGCUAUAAUCCUCCGAAGACCACCUGUGGCGAAGGCGUCUGACUAGAACGGGUCCGACAGUGAGGGACGAAAGCCAGGGGAGCAAUCCGGAUUAGAUACCCGAGUAGUCC